rnacentral:rRNA from 1 species
CGGAACGGGUGAGUAAUGCGUGACCAACCUGCCCCAUGCUCCAGAAUAGCUCUUGGAAACGGGUGGUAAUGCUGGAUGCUCCAACUUGACGCAUGUCUUGUUGGGAAAGUGUUUAGUGGCAUGGGAUGGGGUCGCGUCCUAUCAGCUUGUAGGCGGGGUAAUGGCCCACCUAGGCUUCGACGGGUAGCCGGCCUGAGAGGGCGGACGGCCACAUUGGGACUGAGACACGGCCCAGACUCCUACGGGAGGCAGCAGCC